rnacentral:rRNA from 1 species
UACAGAGGUCUCAAGCGUUGUUCGGAUUCAUUGGGCGUAAAGGGUGCGUAGGUGGCGUGGUAAGUCGGGUGUGAAAUUUCGGAGCUUAACUCCGAAACUGCAUUCGAUACUGCUGUGCUUGAGGACUGGAGAGGAGACUGGAAUUUACGGUGUAGCAGUGAAAUGCGUAGAGAUCGUAAGGAAGACCAGUGGCGAAGGCGGGCCUCUGGACAGUUCCUGACACUGAGGCACGAAGGCCAGGGGAGCAAACGGG